UCUUAAAAACUCAUCCAGAUUCUACAUCCCUCAUCCCACUUUGAGUUUGAACCUCCAUAUGACAAGAGAUGUAUCAUGAGCGAACAAAAGAGAAGAAAUAUAUUGUCUUCUUUCUCUGGAUCACAAUAAUGUGUCUCCAGUGUUCAUCCCACAGUCUCAUCAGUGACAUCAGGAAAGGCUGCAGUUACAACUCAGUGGCCGUGCAUUUGCCUAGCACAAGUGAGACCCCAGCACCACAAGUAAAUCAUAGGGCCUUAUGAGUGCCAUACUAUUGUGAUUUAUAACAUGUAUAGCUAAGUAUACAUGCUAUUGUUUUCAUCUGGACAUGAUGGCUGCCUUCCGCUAAUUCCUCAGCUGGGGUCUCAAAGCUUCCAUACCCAGUGUAGCUGCAUUUCAGGUACUGAUUUUGUACCUCUUUUUUUUUUAUGAUUUCUAACUCAUUUUAAUAAAUUUUAUGUGUGUCUAUGUGUGUAUCUCUCU
rnacentral:lncRNA from 1 species